UACGGAGGGUGCAAGCGUUAUCCGGAUUCACUGGGUUUAAAGGGUGCGUAGGCGGGCAUUUAAGUCAGUGGUGAAAUACCUGAGCUUAACUUGGGAACUGCCAUUGAUACUAUUUGUCUUGAAUGUCGUGGAGGUUAGCGGAAUAUGUCAUGUAGCGGUGAAAUGACUUAGUAUAUGACAUAGAACACCUAAUUGCGAAGGCAGCUAACUACGCGAAUAUUGACGCUGAGGCACGAAAGCGUGGGGAUCAAACAGG
rnacentral:rRNA from 1 species